rnacentral:rRNA from 1 species
UUAUGGCUCAGGAUGAACGCUAGCGACAGGCUUAACACAUGCAAGUCGAGGGGCAUCACGGGAGUAGCAAUACAACUGGUGGCGACCGGCGCACGGGUGAGUAACGCGUAUGCAACCUACCUAUCAGAGGGGAAUAACCCGGCGAAAGUCGGACUAAUACCGCAUAAAACAGGGGCACCGCAUGGUGAUAUUUGUUAAAGAAAUUCGCUGAUAGAUGGGCAUGCGUUCCAUUAGGUAGUUGGUGAGGUAACGGCUCACCAAGCCGACGAUGGAUAGGGGAACUGAGAGGUUGGUCCCCCACACUGGUACUGAGACACGGACCAGACUCCUACGGGAGGCAGCAGUGAGGAAUAUUGGUCAAUGGGCGGGAGCCUGAACCAGCCAAGUCGCGUGAAGGAAAAGAAGGAUCUAUGGUUCGUAAACUUCUUUUGCAGGGGAAUAAAGUGCAGGACGUGUCCUGUUUUGUAUGUACCCUGAGAAUAAGGAUCGGCUAACUCCGUGCCAGCAGCUGC